GACGAACGCUGGCGGCGUGCUUAACACAUGCAAGUCGAACGGAAAGGCCCGUUUCUUGCUACUCUAGCGGCGAACGGGGGAGUAACAGUAAAGUGAGCUGCCCCUGACUUUGGGAUAACUUCAACAAACUGGGGCUAAUACUGGAAAGGAAUCCUUUCUGCAAGCUGGGGGUUGAAAAGCUACGGCGGUUUUGGGUGGACUCGCUGGUUAUCGGCUUGCUGGUGGGGUUGUGGCGUACCGAGGCGUCGACGGGUAGCAGGACUGGGGGGGCGACCGGCAACAUUGGCACUGAGAGACGGCCCAGGCUCCUACUGGAGGCAGAAGUGGGGAAUCUUGACGGAUGGGCGGAGGCCUGAUGCAGAAGCGCCGCGGGCGGGAUGACGGCCUUCGGGUUGUAAACCGCUUGCAGCAGGGGCGAAGCUUGUGGUGACGGUACCUGAAGAGAAAGCACCGGCUAACUACGUG
rnacentral:rRNA from 1 species